CAAUAGCGUAUAUUAAAGUUGUUGCAGUUAAAAAGCUCGUAGUCGCAUUUCUGGCGAGAGGAAUUGGUCCGACAUUUAUUGUGGGUACUCGAUUCUCUCUCGCCAUCCUUGAGUGGUCCGUUCUGGCAUUUAGUUGUCGGAGCGUCAGCCGCUCAUCGUUUACUGUGAGAAAAUUAGAGUGUUCAAAGCAGGCUUAUGCCGUUGAAUAUAUUAGCAUGGAAUAAUAAGAUAGGACCUCGGUGCUAUUUUGUUGGUUUGCGCACAGAGGUAAUGAUGAACAGGGACAGUUGGGGGUAUUCAUAUUCAAUUGUCAGAGGUGAAAUUCUUGGAUUUAUGGAAGAUGAACUACUGCGAAAGCAUUUACCAAGGAUGUUUUCAUUAAUCAAGAACGAAAGUUAGGGGAUCGAAGACGAUUAGAUACCAU
rnacentral:rRNA from 1 species